rnacentral:rRNA from 1 species
UUGAACGCUGGCGGCAGGCCUAACACAUGCAAGUCGAACGGUAACAGGAAGCAGCUUGCUGCUUCGCUGACGAGUGGCGGACGGGUGAGUAAUGUCUGGGAAGCUGCCUGAUGGAGGGGGAUAACUACUGGAAACGGUAGCUAAUACCGCAUAAUGUCGCAAGACCAAAGAGGGGGGACCUUCGGGCCUCUUGCCAUCGGAUGUGCCCAGAUGGGAUUAGCUUGUUGGUGGGGUAACGGCUCACCAAGGCGACGAUCCCUAGCUGGUCUGAGAGGAUGACCAGCCACACUGGAACUGAGACACGGUCCAGACUCCUACGGGAGGCAGCAGUGGGGAAUAUUGCACAAUGGGCGCAAGCCUGAUGCAGCCAUGCCGCGUGUAUGAAGAAGGCCUUCGGGUUGUAAAGUACUUUCAGCGGGGAGGAAGGGAGUAAAGUUAAUACCUUUGCUCAUUGACGUUACCCGCAGAAGAAGCACCGGCUAACUCCGUG